AUCUGCAGUCAUUGUUUUUACCACCAUGAUGAGAGUGUGUGCCGAGUCCCUGUGUUAUACAAGAGAUCCCUUCUGGGUUAAAUCUAUUUGUCCAUAUCCCUCCCCUGUGUAAAGAUCUUGUAAAGACAGCUGCUGUUGCAAAAGUGUAAAUUAUCGCCUGCAAAUUUUUUUUAAAAAAAGACUGGCUUUAUUCUUAGCAGAAAAUAUCGAGAAACCGAAAGUAAAACGAACUGUCCUUCGAGCCGGAAUCGAACCAGCGACCUAAGGAUAUCCUGCAGUUGUAGCCUCUACAGUCCUCCGCUCUACCAGCUGAGCUAUCGAAGGCGUUGGAAACUCGAUCCUACUGGACCCAGUAACAAAUGAGAAGGCUGUGGGAGGGUUUUCAGCAUCCGCAGCUCUUUUGUUGGGCUUUUUGUGCGUUAAUUGCGGAUUCUGGUCCGUGAACUUGCAUUUCCAGAUUAAGCAGCCUUCCAGCGGUGGGACUUCUGAGGAUAUAGUAAAAGGCCUUGGCCCAUACCACACGGCCUUCAGUGACCACUGUAGUAGCGGAGGAGUAGCAGGCUGAAGGAGGCAUCCAGACUAUCAUUGCUUUGGAUGGAGUGCUCCUGAGUGUUUUUCUCCUGCAACAUGAUGCUGCUGUACAGGAGGAUUAGCAACAUGAGGCUGCAGCACAACUGGAAUCUCCCCAUCUGCAACAACAAAGCAACAGGAAGUCUGAAUCAAAGUCUGAAUCAAUGCAUUAAAAU